rnacentral:rRNA from 1 species
UUUGGUUAAGUUAGAAAGGGCGCACGGUGGAUGCCUUGACACUAGGAGUCGAUGAAGGACGGGACUAACGCCGAUAUGCUUCGGGGAGCUGUAAGUAAGCUUUGAUCCGAAGAUUUCCGAAUGGGGAAACCCACCAUACGUAAUGGUAUGGUAUCCUUAUCUGAAUACAUAGGGUAAGGAAGACAGACCCAGGGAACUGAAACAUCUAAGUACCUGGAGGAAGAGAAAGCAAAUGCGAUUUCCUGAGUAGCGGCGAGCGAAACGGAACAUAGCCCAAACCAAGAGGCUUGCCUCUUGGGGUUGUAGGACAUUCUAUACGGAGUUACAAAGGAACGAGGUAGACGAAGCGACCUGGAAAGGUCCGUCGUAGAGGGUAACAACCCCGUAGUCGAAACUUCGUUCUCUCUUGAAUGUAUCCUGAGUACGGCGGAACACGUGAAAUUCCGUCGGAAUCUGGGAGGACCAUCUCCCAAGGCUAAAUACUCCCUAGUGAUCGAUAGUGAACCAGUACCGUGAGGGAAAGGUGAAAAGCACCCCGGAAGGGGAGUGAAAGAGAUCCUGAAACCGUGUGCCUACAAAUAGUCAGAGCCCGUUAACGGGUGAUGGCGUGCCUUUUGUAGAAUGAACCGGCGAGUUACGAUCCCGUGCGAGGUUAAGCUGAAGAGGCGGAGCCGCAGCGAAAGCGAGUCUGAAUAGGGCGUUUAGUACGUGGUCGUAGACCCGAAACCAGGUGAUCUACCCAUGUCCAGGGUGAAGUUCAGGUAACACUGAAUGGAGGCCCGAACCCACGCACGUUGAAAAGUGCGGGGAUGAGGUGUGGGUAGCGGAGAAAUUCCAAUCGAACCUGGAGAUAGCUGGUUCUCCCCGAAAUAGCUUUAGGGCUAGCCUUAAGUGUAAGAGUCUUGGAGGUAGAGCACUGAUUGGACUAGGGGUCCUCAUCGGAUUACCGAAUUCAGUCAAACUCCGAAUGCCAAUGACUUAUCCUUAGGAGUCAGACUGCGAGUGAUAAGAUCCGUAGUCAAAAGGGAAACAGCCCAGACCGCCAGCUAAGGUCCCAAAGUGUGUAUUAAGUGGAAAAGGAUGUGGAGUUGCUUAGACAACUAGGAUGUUGGCUUAGAAGCAGCCACCAUUUAAAGAGUGCGUAAUAGCUCACUAGUCGAGUGACUCUGCGCCGAAAAUGUACCGGGGCUAAAUACACCACCGAAGCUGCGGAUUGAUACCAAUGGUAUCAGUGGUAGGGGAGCGUUCUAAGGACAGUGAAGUCAGACCGGAAGGACUGGUGGAGUGCUUAGAAGUGAGAAUGCCGGUAUGAGUAGCGAAAGACGGGUGAGAAUCCCGUCCACCGAAUGCCUAAGGUUUCCUGAGGAAGGCUCGUCCGCUCAGGGUUAGUCAGGACCUAAGCCGAGGCCGACAGGCGUAGGCGAUGGACAACAGGUUGAUAUUCCUGUACCACCUCUUUAUCGUUUGAGCAAUGGAGGGACGCAGAAGGAUAGAAGAAGCGUGCGAUUGGUUGUGCACGUCCAAGCAGUUAGGCUGAUAAGUAGGCAAAUCCGCUUAUCAUGAAGGCUGAGCUGUGAUGGGGAAGCUCCUUAUGGAGCGAAGUCUUUGAUUCCCCGCUGCCAAGAAAAGCUUCUAGCGAGAUAAAAGGUGCCUGUACCGCAAACCGACACAGGUAGGCGAGGAGAGAAUCCUAAGGUGUGCGAGAGAACUCUGGUUAAGGAACUCGGCAAAAUGACCCCGUAACUUCGGGAGAAGGGGUGCUUUCUUAACGGAAAGCCGCAGUGAAUAGGCCCAAGCGACUGUUUAGCAAAAACACAGCUCUCUGCGAAGCCGUAAGGCGAAGUAUAGGGGGUGACACCUGCCCGGUGCUGGAAGGUUAAGGAGAGGGGUUAGCGUAAGCGAAGCUCUGAACUGAAGCCCCAGUAAACGGCGGCCGUAACUAUAACGGUCCUAAGGUAGCGAAAUUCCUUGUCGGGUAAGUUCCGACCCGCACGAAAGGUGUAACGAUUUGGGCACUGUCUCAACCAGAGACUCGGUGAAAUUAUAGUACCUGUGAAGAUGCAGGUUACCCGCGACAGGACGGAAAGACCCCGUGGAGCUUUACUGUAGCCUGAUAUUGAAUUUUGGUACAGUUUGUACAGGAUAGGCGGGAGCCUUUGAAACCGGAGCGCUAGCUUCGGUGGAGGCGCUGGUGGGAUACCGCCCUGACUGUAUUGAAAUUCUAACCUACGGGUCUUAUCGACCCGGGAGACAGUGUCAGGUGGGCAGUUUGACUGGGGCGGUCGCCUCCUAAAGUGUAACGGAGGCGCCCAAAGGUUCCCUCAGAAUGGUUGGAAAUCAUUCGUAGAGUGCAAAGGCAUAAGGGAGCUUGACUGCGAGACCUACAAGUCGAGCAGGGACGAAAGUCGGGCUUAGUGAUCCGGUGGUUCCGCAUGGAAGGGCCAUCGCUCAACGGAUAAAAGCUACCCCGGGGAUAACAGGCUUAUCUCCCCCAAGAGUCCACAUCGACGGGGAGGUUUGGCACCUCGAUGUCGGCUCAUCGCAUCCUGGGGCUGUAGUCGGUCCCAAGGGUUGGGCUGUUCGCCCAUUAAAGCGGUACGCGAGCUGGGUUCAGAACGUCGUGAGACAGUUCGGUCCCUAUCCGUCGUGGGCGUAGGAAAUUUGAGAGGAGCUGUCCUUAGUACGAGAGGACCGGGAUGGACGCACCGCUGGUGUACCAGUUGUUCUGCCAAGGGCAUAGCUGGGUAGCUAUGUGCGGAAGGGAUAAGUGCUGAAAGCAUCUAAGCAUGAAGCCCCCCUCAAGAUGAGAUUUCCCAUAGCGUAAGCUAGUAAGAUCCCUGAAAGAUGAUCAGGUUGAUAGGUUCGAGGUGGAAGCAUGGUGACAUGUGGAGCUGACGAAUACUAAUAGAUCGAGGACUUAACCAUAUAA